rnacentral:rRNA from 1 species
AAUUUUAUUUAAGGUCUGACCUGCCCUAUGAGAAAUUAAAUGGCCGCGGUAUUUUAACCGUGCAAAGGUAGCAUAGUCACUUGUCUCUUAAUUGGAGGCUUGAAUGAAGGGUUGGACGAGAUAUAAACUUUCUUUGUUAUAUGAGGUUGAAUUUGACUUUUGAGUCAAAAGGCUUAAAUUUAUUUAUAGGACGAGAAGACCCUAUAGAAUUUUAUAUUUUUAUGUAAAUAACUUAUUUGUUAAUGAUUAGGUUUUUUGUGUGUAAGUAUUUUGUUGGGGCGAUGGGAAGAUUUUUUUAACUCU